CGUUAGCGGCGGACGGGUGAGUAACACGUGGGUAACCUACCUAUAAGACUGGGACAACUUCGGGAAACCGGAGCUAAUACCGGAUAAGAUAUCGAACCGCAUGGUUCGAUAGUGAAAGAUGGUUUUGCUAUCACUUAUAGAUGGACCCGCGCCGUAUUAGCUAGUUGGUGAGGUAACGGCUCACCAAGGCAACGAUACGUAGCCGACCUGAGAGGGUGAUCGGCAACACUGGAACUGAGACACGGUCCAGACUCCUACGGGAGGCAGCAGGA
rnacentral:rRNA from 1 species